CCGCUGGAUAGCUCACGAGUGCUGGGCUUUCUCCACGGAGUUGUCUGCCCCUCCGAAGCGUCUCCUUGAGAUGGUGCCGGCUACCUCGGGUUGGCUCGUUGGAACGUGAGCAGGUGGCCGUGACAGCCAAACUUGGAAGACGGCAGAAGCUGUGCACUCCGGUGCCUGGGCUCGGAGGCUGAAAUUAAUCUCCUUUCUUCUCAGGAAUCUCUAGGCACAUUUGCUUUUCAUCUUGUUUCCUGACACAGGAUAGCGUCUUAUCACAGUUAAAUGAACCCUUGGCGUUCACACGCCCCCUCACGUUGCUCAGCCAUAUGGAAACAGCAGUAAACAAAAUCACCACUGUGUUUCAAAACCUGAGGACAGGCACCAACUACCUCCUGGACCACACAGCAGCCAGCACUGGGCCAACCAGUCACCUGCACUGAGAGAGCUGGGCUCUCCUCUUCCCUGUGCUCUGCAGCUGGGCCAACCAGCCAUGUGCCUGAAGUUUUCUGGUUCUUCCUGCCACUUUUGGACUUGGAUAAACAGAGCACCACUGUAGUUACUGAGUCUGGUUCUGGCCGUCUUCCACCCCUACCACAGCUCCAAGGAACUGAGCUGAGUUGUGGAGAAACAGCAUGCAGAAACUAGCCAAUUAUUCUGACACGUUCUCCUUCUCAGUGAUGCCCGUCACCUUGGACGUAAAUGUGUUCUGUUGAGAAGAUUUGGAUAAGACGUGUGCAUGCACAGAAGAAGACUCGAACCCCAGAGUGAAUACGAAGUGAGGAGCAGCCACCAGCCAGUGAAGGAGAGAAGCCUCAGAAGAAACCAGGCCUGCUGACACCUUGACCUUGGACUUCUAGCCUCCUGACUGUGAGACAAUAUAUAUCUGUUGUUGAAGCCUUCCACUCUGUGGUACUGCAAUCCGGCAGGACUGGUGAACCAAUAAA